rnacentral:misc_RNA from 1 species
GAUGAAGAACGUAGCGAAAUGCGAUAAGUAAUGUGAAUUGCAGAAUUCAGUGAAUCAUCGAAUCUUUGAACGCACAUUGCGCCCACCAGUAUUCUGGCGGGCAUGCCUGUUCGAGCGUCAUUUCAACCAUCAAGCCCCCGGCUUGUGUUGGGGACCUGCGGCUGCCGCAGGCCCUGAAAAGCAGUGGCGGGCUCGCUGUCACACCGAGCGUAGUAGCAUACAUCUCGCUCUGGGCGUGCUGCGGGUUCCGGCCGUUAAACCACCUUCAUAACCCAAGGUUGACCUCGGAUCAGGUAGGAAGACCCGCUGAACUUAAGCAUAUCAAUAAGCGGAGGA